CGGGAUGUGGCGCAGUUCGGUUAGCGCGCACGGCUGGGGGUCGUGAGGUCGCAGGUUCGAAUCCUGUCUUCCCGA
rnacentral:tRNA from 1 species